UGGGGAAUAUUGGACAAUGGGGGCAACCCUGAUCCAGCCAUGCCGCGUGAGUGAUGAAGGCCUUAGGGUUGUAAAGCUCUUUUGGCAGGGACGAUAAUGACGGUACCAGCAGAAGAAGCCCCGGCUAACUCCGUGCCAGCAGCCGCGGUAAUACGGAGGGGGCUAGCGUUGUUCGGAAUUACUGGGCGUAAAGCGCACGUAGGCGGAUCAGUCAGUCAGGGGUGAAAUCCCGGGGCUCAACCCCGGAACUGCCUUUGAUACUGCUGGUCUUGAGGAUGAGAGAGGCGAGUGGAAUUCCGAGUGUAGAGGUGAAAUUCGUAGAUAUUCGGAGGAACACCAGUGGCGAAGGCGGCUCGCUGGCUCAUUUCUGACGCUGAGGUGCGAAAG
rnacentral:rRNA from 1 species